UGUCGGUCUCACAGAUUCUGGUGUCGAGGAUCUCGUCUCCGCUCUCAGUACAAACCCAUCACUGACGGAGCUGAACCUGAGUGAUAAUAAACUGGGAGAUUCAGGAGUGAAACUGGUGUCUGCGGCUCUGAGGAACCCGGAGUGUAAAAUACAGAAACUGGGGCUGGGGGAUGUCGGUCUCACAGAUUCUGGUGCCGAGGAUCUCGUCUCCGCUCUCAGUACAAAACCAUCACUGACGGAUCUGGACCUGGGAUCAAACUCUCUGACAGACCGAUCUGUCCCCGCUCUCCGCCGCCUCAUACUGACCCGCCCGAGUCUGGAGCUGAUCCUGCUGUGGGGGAAUCGGUUCAGUGAGAUCGGGAAGAAGGAACUGAGAUCUCUACAGGAACCCAGACCCGGACUGAUGGUGGAUCUGUGAACAUCUGAAUGUGGUGAAUCGGUUCAGUGAGACCGGGAUGAAGGAACUGAGAUCUCUACAGGAACCCAGACCCGGACUGAUGGUGGAUCUGUGAACAUCUGAAUGUGGUGAAUCGGUUCAGUGAGACCGGGAUGAAGGAACUGAGACCUCUGCGGGGAGUCAGACCCGGACUGAGAGUGGAUCUGUGAACAUCUGAAUGUGGGGAAUCGGUUCAGUGAGAUCGGGAAGAAGGAACUGAGAUCUCUACAGGAACCCAGACCCGGACUGACAGUGUGGAUCUGAACAUCUGAAUGUGGUGAAUCGGUUCAGUGAGACCGGGAUGAAGGAACUGAGAUCUCUACAGGAACCCAGACCCGGACUGAUGGUGGAUCUGUGAACAUCUGAAUGUGGGGAAUCGGUUCAGUGAGACCGGGAAGAAGGAACUGAGAUCUCUACAGGAACCCAGACCCGGACUGAGAGUGGAUCUGUGAACAUCUGAAUGUGGUGAAUCGGUUCAGUGAGAUCGGGAAGAAGGAACUGAGAUCUCUACAGGAACCCAGACCCGGACUGAUGGUGGAUCUGUGAACAUCUGAAUGUGGUGAAUCGGUUCAGUGAGACCGGGAUGAAGGAACUGAGAUCUCUACAGGAACCCAGACCCGGACUGAUGGUGGAUCUGUGAACAUCUGAAUGUGGUGAAUCGGUUCAGUGAGACCGGGAUGAAGGAACUGAGAUCUCUACAGGAACCCAGACCCGGACUGAUGGUGGAUCUGUGAACAUCUGAAUGUGGUGAAUCGGUUCAGUGAGACCGGGAUGAAGGAACUGAGACCUCUGCGGGGAGUCAGACCCGGACUGAGAGUGGAUCUGUGAACAUCUGAAUGUGGGGAAUCGGUUCAGUGAGAUCGGGAAGAAGGAACUGAGAUCUCUACAGGAACCCAGACCCGGACUGACAGUGUGGAUCUGAACAUCUGAAUGUGGUGAAUCGGUUCAGUGAGACCGGGAUGAAGGAACUGAGAUCUCUACAGGAACCCAGACCCGGACUGAUGGUGGAUCUGUGAACAUCUGAAUGUGGGGAAUCGGUUCAGUGAGACCGGGAUGAAGGAACUGAGAUCUCUACAGGAACCCAGACCCGGACUGAUGGUGGAUCUGUGAACAUCUGAAUGUGGUGAAUCGGUUCAGUGAGACCGGGAGGAAGGAACUGAGAUCUCUACAGGAACCCAGACCCGGACUGAGAGUGGAUCUGUGAACAUCUGAAUGUGGGGAAUCGGUUCAGUGAGACCGGGAUGAAGGAACUGUGAUCUCUACAGGAACCCAGACCCGGACUGAUGGUGGAUCUGUGAACAUCUGAAUGUGGUGAAUCGGUUCAGUGAGACCGGGAUGAAGGAACUGAGAUCUCUGCAGGAACCCAGACCCGGACUGAUGGUGGAUCUGUGAACAUCUGAAUGUGGGGAAUCGGUUCAGUGAGACCGGGAUGAAGGAACUGAGAUCUCUACAGGAACCCAGACCCGGACUGAUGGUGGAUCUGUGAACAUCUGAAUGUGGUGAAUCGGUUCAGUGAGACCGGGAGGAAGGAACUGAGAUCUCUACAGGAACCCAGACCCGGACUGAGAGUGGAUCUGUGAACAUCUGAAUGUGGGGAAUCGGUUCAGUGAGACCGGGAUGAAGGAACUGAGAUCUCUACAGGAACCCAGACCCGGACUGAUGGUGGAUCUGUGAACAUCUGAAUGUGGUGAAUCGGUUCAGUGAGACCGGGAUGAAGGAACUGAGAUCUCUACAGGAACCCAGACCCGGACUGAUGGUGACCAUGUGAACAUCUGAAUGUGGUGAAUCGGUUCAGUGAGAUCGGGGAGAAGGAACUGAGAUCUCUACAGGAACCCAGACCGGACUGAUGGUGACCAUGUGAACAUCUGAAUGUGGGGAAUCGGUUCAGUGAGACCGGGAUGAAGGAACUGAGAUCUCUACAGGAACCCAGACCCGGACUGAGAGUGGAUCUGUGAACAUCUGAAUGUGGGGAAUCGGUUCAGUGAGACCGGGAUGAAGGAACUGAGAUCUCUACAGGAACCCAGACCCGGACUGAUGGUGGAUCUGUGAACAUCUGAAUGUGGGGAAUCGGUUCAGUGAGACCGGGAUGAAGGAACUGGGAUCUCUGCAGGAACCCAGACCCGGACUGAUGGUGGAUCUGUGGACAUCUGAAUGUGGGGAAUCGGUUCAGUGAGACCGGGAUGAAGGAACUGAGAUCUCUACAGGAACCCAGACCCGGACUGAUGGUGGAUCUGUGAACAUCUGAAUGUGGGGAAUCGGUUCAGUGAGACCGGGAUGAAGGAACUGAGAUCUCUACAGGAACCCAGACCCGGACUGAUGGUGGAUCUGUGAACAUCUGAAUGUGGUGAAUCGGUUCAGUGAGACCGGGAGGAAGGAACUGAGAUCUCUACAGGAACCCAGACCCGGACUGAUGGUGGAUCUGUGAACAUCUGAAUGUGGUGAAUCGGUUCAGUGAGACCGGGAGGAAGGAACUGAGAUCUCUACAGGAACCCAGACCCGGACUGAUGGUGGAUCUGUGAACAUCUGAAUGUGGGGAAUCGGUUCAGUGAGACCGGGAUGAAGGAACUGAGAUCUCUACAGGAACCCAGACCCGGACUGAUGGUGGAUCUGUGAACAUCUGAAUGUGGGGAAUCGGUUCAGUGAGACCGGGAUGAAGGAACUGAGAUCUCUACAGGAACCCAGACCCGGACUGAGAGUGGAUCUGUGAACAUCUGAAUGUGGUGAAUCGGUUCAGUGAGACCGGGGAGAAGGAACUGAGAUCUCUACAGGAACCCAGACCCGGACUGAUGGUGGAUCUGUGAACAUCUGAAAGUGGUGAAUCGGUUCAGUGAGACCGGGAUGAAGGAACUGAGAUCUCUACAGGAACCCAGACCCGGACUGAUGGUGACCAUGUGAACAUCUGAAUGUGGGGAAUCGGUUCAGUGAGACCGGGAUGAAGGAACUGAGAUCUCUACAGGAACCCAGACCCGGACUGAGAGUGGAUCUGUGAACAUCUGAAUGUGGUGAAUCGGUUCAGUGAGACUGGGAUGAAGGAACUGAGAUCUCUGCAGGAACCCAGACCCGGACUGAUGGUGGAUCUGUGAACAUCUGAAUGUGGGGAAUCGGUUCAGUGAGACUGGGAUGAAGGAACUGAGAUCUCUGCAGGAACCCAGACCCGGACUGAUGGUGGAUCUGUGAACAUCUGAAUGUGGGGAAUCGGUUCAGUGAGACUGGGAUGAAGGAACUGAGAUCUCUGCAGGAACCCAGACCCGGACUGAUGGUGGAUCUGUGAACAUCUGAAUGUGGGGAAUCGGUUCAGAGAGACCGGGAUGAAGGAACUGAGAUCUCUACAGGAACCCAGACCCGGACUGAUGGUGGAUCUGUGAACGUCUGAAUGUGGUGAAUCGGUUCAGUGAGACCGGGAUGAAGGAACUGAGAUCUCUACAGGAACCCAGACCCGGACUGAGAGUGGAUCUGUGAACAUCUGAAUGUGGUGAAUCGGUUCAGUGAGACCGGGAUGAAGGAACUGAGAUCUCUACAGGAACCCAGACCCGGACUGAUGGUGGAUCUGUGGACAUCUGAAUGUGGGGAAUCGGUUCAGUGAGACCG